GACGAACCGUGCGAACGUUAUUCGGAAUCACUGGGCUUAAAGCGCGUGUAGGCGGGCCGGCACGUCCGGUGCUGAAAUCCCCCGGCUCAACCGGGGAACGGGCACGGAUACGACCGGCCUGGAGGGGCGUAGGGGGACCGGGAACUUCCGGUGGAGCGGUGAAAUGCGUUGAGAUCGGAAGGAACGCCCGUGGCGAAAGCGCGGUCCUGGACGCCUACUGACGCUGAGACGCGAAAGCCAGGGGAGCGAACGGG
rnacentral:rRNA from 1 species